CCCUUAGACACUCUAGGCGGCACGCGCGCUACAAUGGGUGGAAGAACGUGUUACUGCCUCCGAAAGGAGGGGUGAAUCACGAAUCCUUGCCCGUGAAUGGGAUAGUUUGUUGCAAUUUUCGGACUUGAACUAGGAAUCCCUUGUAAACAUGCUCAAGAAUAGCGUGUUGAAUACGUCCCUGCCGUUUGUACACACCGCCCGUCGUUUCUUCCGACUGAUACUCAUUGUGAGUUGCAAGGACCCUUUAUUGGGAAAUUGCUGCAAAUGCUUUGUAUUGGAGGAAGAAAAAGUCGUAACA
rnacentral:rRNA from 1 species